GACGAACGCUGGCGGCGUGCCUAACACAUGCAAGUCGAGCGGGGUUGAAGCGAGGGGUAACUCGAACUUCUACCUAGCGGCGGACGGGUGAGUAACGCGUGGGCAACCUGCCUCAAGGUCUGGGAUAACAGCUCGAAAGGGCUGCUAAUACCGGAUAUGCCUAUAGCCUCGCAUGGGGCUAUGAGCAAAGGGGAAACCCGCCUUGAGAUGGGCCCGCGUCCCAUCAGCUAGUUGGUGAGGUGAAGGCUCACCAAGGCGACGACGGGUAGCCGGCCUGAGAGGGUGACCGGCCACACUGGGACUGAGACACGGCCCAGACUCCUACGGGGGGCAGCAGUGGGGAAUCUUGCACAAUGGGCGAAAGCCUGAUGCAGCGACGCCGCGUGAGCGAAGAAGGCCUUGGUGUAAAGCUCUGUCUGAGGGACGAAGAAAGUGACGGUACCUCCGGAGGAAGCCACGGCUAACUACGUG
rnacentral:rRNA from 1 species